rnacentral:lncRNA from 1 species
AAAAAAAGCAGAAUUUUCCUAAUCCAUGAAAACUCAGAGGUUUUCCAUUUCGGGGUGUAAAAAGGCUUCCUGCCAGUGGCAAGGAGCUACUUUAUCACUGGCUGCCACUCAUCUUUGAGAAGGACAGCCCAAAAGAGCUGGCUUAGGCUUGCCAGAAACUCUCCCAGGCCACAUGGAAAGCCAGGUGACCCUGUAGUACCUGCCCAGUGUGACUCAAGCCCCGAGUAGAAGAAAAGCAAGUUCCAACCUGCAGGCCAAGCCUGGCAUGCAGUGGGGCUGUGCGCAGACUGCCAUCCUUGGCACCAAUGGUGCCAAAUUUCUUGCCAAAUGGGCUUGAGUUUCAACAUGUUGGGAGAGCACAGGAGCCUGUGAGCAUAACUUUGCUGUCAACCCUGAAGCAGGGCCAAAGAAGAUCCUAGAGAGUCCAGCAGUACAGCAGAUGGAAGGGACAGGCAUGGAUGUUGGGCUCCUGGGGAUUCAGCCCUCUUUGGGCAAAGCAGAACACCAUCUAACACCAGAGGACUAGACUGCGGCCGGAGCAUUGCCCGAGCCAUCCCAGGGGAUGGAGGGCCCCUGGGAAAUCCUUCAAAGGCAAGUGCAGCUGUUGCCAGCUCUGGGUUCUGUGGGGCCCAUAGGAUGACGUGGCCUGAGGCUUCAUCACUGGAGCCUGGGGCUUCAGCUUUCCAGAAAAGGACCCACACUGGGCUCAACCACCUGCCACAUUCUGGACCCUGUGCUGGCUCCUCUACCUGCAUGACUCCAGCAGGUUCCAGCAUUUCUACCUUUGAUGUUCCUGCUAACUGGGGCCCUCACUGAUGAGAUGCCGGGUGCAGCUUCCACUUGGGAACCUCUCUGACUCCACCAGGAUGAGAAACAAAGAGUUGGAGAGGAGAAUGGAGGCAGGUUUCCCCUCAGGCUCUGGCUGCUUCUCCUCCUGCAUCAGAAGAUCAAAGGGAGGGAAGAGUGAGGCCUCAGCGGGGGUGGGGGUGGGGGUGGGGGUGGGGUGGGGUGGGGUGGCCCUGCUCUGUGUGCUUCCCGGUAGGAGCCAAUUUCUUCCCUAAUUUAUUGACCACCCUGACUCUUUCCUCAUCUUUCUGAUUAAUAGUUUAGUUGGGGGUGCUAGGAAAUUUACCUCCAGUUGUUACCAUAGCAACCAGCUCUCUUGUACAGGAUCCCAUAGACAAUGCAUUUUGGGUCUUCGGCAGGAGCUGGGAUUUACGAGGAUCUCAGCAUGUACCAGGGCAGAAUGGGCAAGAUGAUGUUCCACUGAUAUGCUUAAGAAUUAUGCGUGGGGAUAGGAAAUGGUCUUGCCACACGGUAAAUUGGGAAGGAUGGUUUUAGUGCCUUUCCUUUCCUCUUGGCUUUGUCUCUCUCUUACAAGAGACCCCUCCCCCACAACAUUCUCUCUUAGGUCCUCGGAAAACUAGUUCCUCACAGGACAAAGGCAGGGCCAGUUUGGUGGAAGUCACGGGGAGGCUCAUUCCCUUUCAGCAAAAGGAAGAAUUUGUAGUGGGUAGAACCAGCUGAAGAUACAGUUGGCAGUCUUGGGAAGUAGUGAUCCCUGGAGGUGUGUGAACAGGGGCCUGUCAGGGGCUCUAGAAAAUAUUGUAUAGAGGACCGAGUGAGGGGUGGCAUGUGUGGAACCUCUGGGUCCUUUUCAUCCCUGGGAAGGGAGUUGCACUGUACCUGCUUGUGAGGCCAGCUCUCACCUCUCCCAACUAAGCAGAAUAUCAGAUUUGGACAUUUCAGUUCCCUGGGCCCCUGGGAUGUCUUUGGUGUCCUCAUAAACUCAAUACCCAGUACACUGCCUGGCCCUUGGGUGAAUGAAUAAAUUCCUUAGGCCUUUAUUAAGUGUGUGGACACAACUUACUAACUGUUUAUGUGUUCUUUUAUUAUGAUAAUAAAAAUAUACAUUUCAAAGCAUUGU